rnacentral:rRNA from 1 species
GACGAACGCUGGCGGCGUGCUUAACACAUGCAAGUCGAACGGAAAGGCCCUGCUUUUGUGGGGUGCUCGAGUGGCGAACGGGUGAGUAACACGUGAGUAACCUGCCCUUGACUUUGGGAUAACUUCAGGAAACUGGGGCUAAUACCGGAUAGGAGCUCCUGCUGCAUGGUGGGGGUUGGAAAGUUUCGGCGGUUGGGGAUGGACUCGCGGCUUAUCAGCUUGUUGGUGGGGUAGUGGCUUACCAAGGCUUUGACGGGUAGCCGGCCUGAGAGGGUGACCGGCCACAUUGGGACUGAGAUACGGCACAGACUCCUACGGGAGGCAGCAGUGGGGAAUAUUGCACAAUGGACGGAAGCCUGAUGCAGCAACGCCGCGUGCGGGAUGACGGCCUUCGGGUUGUAAGCCGCUUUCGCCUGUGACGAAGCGUGAGUGACGGUAAUGGGUAAAGAAGCACCGGCUAACUACAUG